rnacentral:rRNA from 1 species
GAUGAACGCUGGCGGCGUGCCUAAUACAUGCAAGUCGAGCGAACAGACGAGGAGCUUGCUCCUCUGACGUUAGCGGCGGACGGGUGAGUAACACGUGGAUAACCUACCUAUAAGACUGGGAUAACUUCGGGAAACCGGAGCUAAUACCGGAUAAUAUAUUGAACCGCAUGGUUCAAUAGUGAAAGACGGUUUUGCUGUCACUUAUAGAUGGGUCCGCGCCGCAUUAGCUAGUUGGUAAGGUAACGGCUUACCAAGGCAACGAUGCGUAGCCGACCUGAGAGGGUGAUCGGCCACACUGGAACUGAGACACGGUCCAGACUCCUACGGGAGGCAGCAGUAGGGAAUCUUCCGCAAUGGGCGAAAGCCUGACGGAGCAACGCCGCGUGAAUGAUGAAGGUCUUCGGAUCGUAAAACUCUGUUAUUAGGGAAGAACAAAUGUGUAAGUAACUAUGCACGUCUUGACGGUACCUAAUCAGAAAGCCACGGCUAACUACGUG